ACCGAGUGGACCUAUCUGCCAGAAGUCACAAACGGAGAGAUCAAGUGAGGAGAACCACACCGUAGAAGCUCACAAGUCAGACAAAGUGAGCUCACACUACUGGAGCUCUCAGGAUUUCUACAAACUAGAAACCAUGGUAAACCCAGAAGAAAAGGCACUCCAGUUCAACCUUCUCUACAAAUGAAGGAAGGGGCAGCCAAUCUUACUUCUCCCAUAGACCAGACUGAAAGAUGGCUAAGAAUGUACUAAAGCACACUUCCACAUGUAGGCAUGGGCAUUUCUUGAAAGAACUGGCCUUGGGAGAGCAACUGAAGAGGAAAGAACCAUCCUGAAUUCAGGUAGUCAACAGCCUGGAUGUUCUCUUGGAAUAAGUGAAGUAAGAGAAUAUCAGACCAGAAAUUAGUAUUGAGGUUUCUCAAAAGGUUUGAAAGAGAAACACUACAUGGCCCACAGAUAUCACCCCUUGGUGUAUACCCAAAGGAUUCCAUUUCCUACUGUGAGCAUCCAAGCAUAUCCAUGUGGAUUGUUCUCUACUUACAAUAGAAGGAAAUGGAACCAGUAUAGAGACCCAUCAAUAGAUGAAUAGAUAAUGAAAAUGUAGUAUACAUACAUGAUGGAAUUUCAUUCAACUGUAGAGAAAAUGG
rnacentral:lncRNA from 1 species